AUUUUGGUCUGGAAAUGUGGAGGUAGUUUUCAGUAAUCAGUUCUUGGCCUUUAAAUUCAGAGAACACAGGUCAAUUGCUGCAUUUUGCUAGCUCUUCUCUGAGGUGCAGAUGGUAGCAGCUGUAGAAAACUAGAUUGGAAGAGCACA